rnacentral:lncRNA from 1 species
UGCAAACAGCCUGAAACACAACCUCAUACAGAGAACUCUUCAUCUCUCUCUAUCUCUAUCCCAUCUGUAACCUCAGUAUCAUCUCUAUCUCAACCUACAUUUCCUUCUUUAUCUUGCCUUAUUUCUGUUACUAGUCUCUAUCUGUGUUUCUUUCUCCUGCACAGUGCCUUCUUCAUCUCUAUUUUCUAUAUCUCUAUCCAUUCUUAUCUCCAUCUGCAUCUCUUCCAGAUUUUUUUCUUUUGUUGCACCUCAGUUUCUAUCCUCACCUGUUAGUAUUUGCAUCUCGCUCACUGUCUCCAUUUUUCUUGCUCUUUCUCUGUCUCCAUCUCUAUCUCUGCUGUAGCUCCUUAUUCAUCUUCAUCUCUUUUUUCCACCUCUAUCUCUAUUACUAUAUCAGUCUUAUCUGCAGGUUCUUUUUAUCUAUAUCUCCAUAAUUAUCUCUUUAUCUAUAUCCAUUUCUCUGUCUAUCUCCUGCCUAACUUUUUUUCCUAUUUCCAUCUGUAUUUUGUGUGUCAUCUCCAUCCCCUUCCUUCUUUCUAUCACUGCUCAUCUCUGUCUUUGUUUUGUCUUUCUUUUCUGUCUUGACUCCACACCUAACUCUGUCACCAUGGUUUCUUCACAGAUGUCUCUGUAACUAGUCUUAUUUCAACUCUGCUUCUCUUUCAUCUCAUCUUUUUCUUCUCAUUGUUUCCAUCUCUAUCCCUCAGUCAUCUGUAUCUCAUCUCUUUUUUGAUAUCUAGCUUAUCCUAAUAUUCGUAUCUGUGCAUCAUGGCUCCUGUUUUUUUAUUUUUAUUUUUUCUGUCUCAUCUUCAACUUCUUUUUCCAUCUCUAUAUAUAUUUCCAUCUCAGUCCUUAUCGUCUUUUCAGUCACAGACUUUUAAUCUUUGGUUCUUUUUCUCAAUCUUUAUACAUGCCUCUUUUCCCAUUUCCAUCAUGUUUUUAUCUCUAGCUCAGUCUUUUCCUCCCUCUUCAUCUCCUUUAUAUUUCUAUCUAUUUUUGUGUCUCUAUCUUCCUCUACCCCUAACACAGCUCUAGUUGGUUGUCAGCUGUCCAAAAUGAAGAGCAGGUCAGAUGGUUUGUUUUAAACUGACCCUGAACUUGAUUAAACUCUGACAUAAUAAAGGCCUGAACACACACUGACAACAGACACCUCCCACUCACACUUCCCGUUCAGAGAAGUACUGGGGUGUUUGCCACCACACCCUCAGUCCCCCAGUCACUGUGGUCAGUAUUUGGUAGAUCUACAAGGGUGAGAGGCUGAGAGUGUGAGAGGGGUAUUCAUAUUUCCACAUUUAGGUUUAAAGACAGCAGAGGAAACCACAAACAGGUUGAGUUUUUCAUCAUCAUGCUCACUGUCACUAUACGUUGUAAUUCCCCUCAGUCCUCCGCAUGUUUUCACUCUUGAAAAAUUCACCUGCAGACUUCUCAUUCACUGAGUGGAUGCAUUUAUCCACAGAGGUCUGAAAACUGAGAAAAAAGGAAGUUUCUCAGGAGAGCAUGUCCUUCAGUCAGUGAUUCAGCUUUAUUUUGUGAAGUACUUGCUUCACAAAAAGUUUGAUUCCUCUCUCGUGUGUGUUGUCAGAUUUGAUGCUAUAAAUAGGAGCAGCUUUUCAAGACUAAAAGAGACCACAUGCAUAAAUCUGGCUUGUUUAACUCCUUGACAAGUUAAAAGAUACGCUCCCUUUGUAAAUGACUAUUUUUUUCACAGAGCACCUGGUCAAGAAAAUACUACAUAUCACCCUGACAACAACAUUAUAAGAAACUUUUGAACUUACAAACUUUAUUAGUGUGGGAGAGUUUCCAAUGUUUUAACAGAGACAGAGAUUUUGUACACAUUUAGUGCUUAAUUUAAACUCUUUAUUGAUUUCAUGAAGUAUUCUAUCAUGUGUGAUACUGGAUUUAUGCUUUCGUUAGCUGUCCAAAGACAUCAACAAAAAAAGGCUAAUUAUAUUUAAUUUUACAUGCCACAAAUGAAUAUCUGAAAUUCUCCCUUUGACUUAUUUAUGAUAAAGAGAUGUAUAUAUUGAAGGAUAUAUCAUCACUUCAACCACAAAACAACAAAAGAUCAUGUGUGUUUAAAACGCUCUUUAAUAACAAUCCACCCUGUCACUGUAAAUGUGUCGGAGCUCAAAUUCAGGGCAAGUUCAGUAGUCUUUUAUCUGGAGGCUGUUGGUGGAGAUGCUGGAUGUUGAUUUCAGCAUCGAAACACCCUGAAAGUUUGACCCACACAGCCUUUAAAGUUCUGCUGUUUGGGUUAAAUCACAGCUGGGGAAGUCACAGUUUGACCCAGUGAACACAGAUGUACCUGACAUUUAAAAUUUAAAAGGAAGAGGGGGAGGAAAAAAACACACACAAACCUCAUGUUUCUAAAUAAGUAAAAUCAUCAAGCUGCAGAUGAACCCAAGUGUCUGAUGUCUGAUUUAAAAUAAGUCAUUUAGUCCUUGAAACAUCUGGGUCUCUCAGACGUUGUUUCUGCUGUAAUGUGUGUCUUUGUGUGUCUUUGUGUGUCUCUGUGUGUGUGUCGCUGGUCACCAGAAACAGGCACAAACUGUACGACCAUUUUUGGUCCUUGUUUCUUUCCCAUCGUCACGCCGUCAUCGUCUCCGUUCAGCAAGACCGAGAUCAGGCAACGUCUGGAGGAGGUCCAGACCAAACACAGGGAUCAGGUUUACAGAGUCCGAAUACAGGGACCAGGACUACAGAGUUCAUACUUGGGGACCAGGUUUACAGAGUCCAAGCACAUGGACCAGGUCUACAGAGUUCAAACACAGGGACCAAGACUGAUAGAGUCUGAACAGAAGGACUACCAGGGAUAGUAAAAGUCCCCACAGAGCUGAUAUCUGACCCUCACAUAAAGCUGGAUUCAGCCUGGGUUUGGAGGGUCCUCUGACUUAAAUCUCUGUUUUAUGUCACUGAGUCCCCCUGAGGAGUCCAAGCUCAGGGACCAGGGCUGAUAGAGUCCAAAGACAGGGACCGGGACUACAGAGAUCCUUGUUUUUUAGUCACUUAGUCACCCUGAGGAGUGGUGAUCUCUCUUCCUGAUCAGGGCUGUGUGUAUGCAGAAGACUUUAUCUUCUUUCCUGGACUUCAUCCCUUUGUCUAAGUGCAUUGUCA